rnacentral:misc_RNA from 1 species
UUUACGUUUUUCCAUUUUUUUCUAAAUUUCUGAUUAUUUUUAGCACCAGAUCCAAUCCAAAAGGUAAAAUAUGCCAUUAAGGGAUAGAUUCAAAUUAACAGGUGCAACAUCAUCUGCUAGACUCCCACAGUGACGUAUUUUCACCGUACAUGUAGCCAAAAGAGUUAUGCAAUGCAUAAACUGUGUGACCAGUUCAUCAACUAUUCUUUGUCAGUCUACUCACAUAUAUAAAACUAUGUGUUACCAUUUUUAUUUACAAUCGGAGAAUUUACAUGAAAUUCAUUCUCUGAGUAAACAUAAGCAACUAAGUUUGCUUGAUACAAAUGUUGGACAUCAUAGAACGAAGUGUAGGAAUAUUCUACUUACAUUCCGUGUACAUUAGAUGGG